rnacentral:rRNA from 1 species
GAUGAACGCUGGCGGCGUGCCUAAUACAUGCAAGUCGAGCGAACAGACGAGGAGCUUGCUCCUCUGACGUUAGCGGCGGACGGGUGAGUAACACGUGUAUAACCUACCUAUAAGACUGGGAUAACUUCGGGACACCGGAGCUAAUACCGGAUAAUAUAUUGAACCGCAUGGUUCAAUAGUGAAAGACGGUUUUGCUGUCACUUCUAGAUGGAUCCGCGCCGCAUUAGCUAGUUGGUAAGGUAACGGCUUACCAAGGCAACGAUGCGUUGCCGACCUGAGAGGGUGAUAGGCCACCCUGGAACUGGGACACGGUCCAGAGUACUACGGGAGGGAGCAGUAGGGAAUCUUCCGCAAUGGGCGAAAGCAUGACGGAGCAACGCCGCGUGAGUGAUGAAGGUCUUCGGAUCGUAAAACUCUGUUAUUAGGGAAGAACAAAUGUGUAAGUAACUAUGCGCGUCUUGACGGUACCUAAUCAGAAAGCCACGGCUAACUACGUG